CAAGGAAACUAGAGUCCGUCACAAACAGGAAUUGCUUGAGGCCGCAGAGAGUGGGCUGACGGACUGUCACUCCCGACUCACAGGCUAAUGACCCUGCAAUCCCGGCUGCGCACAGACAGCAGCAGGGGGAUGUCUUAUCUUCCUACUGGCUGGAGACUGAGGCAAUCUCGGGCACAGUGCAGUUCGCCAGCUACUUUACCUGCACUGCCUCUUUCCCCUCCUCAGUAGUUUCUCAUGGGCGGGGACCAAGUCUUCCUUCGUUUUCCAGAGCCAUAGAUAGGAGUAGCUUUGAUACUUGUUCUCAUCGUGUGGUCCUGGGGAAGUUACUCAGCUACUUAGAGCCGUUUCUUCAGUGUCCUGACCUUUGCAGGGCUGGCCGCAAGAGAAGUCUUGAGUGAGCUGAGGAAGAAAUGAAGCAUCAGCCACGUGCACCGCAGGUCCGCGCCCUCGCAGCUCACACAGGGGCCGCUGGCCUGCGGGUGUCCACGGCGGCCAGCGGCUCCUCCAGGGCUCCUUCCGCGGCCGGGGCCCACCAGAGUCUGCAAAUGCAAGAACUUCCCACGUCCAGUUGGCUCUCAAGAACCGCGAUGCUUGGAAAAGGAUUCCAGCCCCUACAGAUGAGUCCCCGGGGCUGUGGGGCGGGGCAGGACCCUGUCCUUCACCCCGCCCGUCCUAGGCACCGCUGAGUCCUUGCAUCAGGUGGCCACAUCACCCUCAUUUUGCCGGGACGGGCUCUGUGCGCCUCACCUGUCAGAACAAACCCUGGACCCACCAUGGGGGAGGACUUUGGUUUGUCACAGCUGCUUAAGAGUGAACACAGCACGUGAUUGCUCCUUGGAGGCCUGGCCCUGGGACAGGUGUGCGCUUCAGCCACAGGAUAUCCUCCCUGUAGCCGCUGUGGUUCAGCAGCCAAAAUCAGUACUUACGUUUUCAGGAAUCGUCUUGUUGAAGAGUCAUUAUUAAAAAUCAAAUCAAAACAUUUUUUAAUCAUAUUAAAAACAAAGGUAAUAAAACAUCAAAG
ensembl:lncRNA